rnacentral:rRNA from 1 species
GUGGGGAAUUUUGGACAAUGGGCGCAAGCCUGAUCCAGCAAUGCCGCGUGCAGGAAGAAGGCCUUCGGGUUGUAAACUGCUUUUGUCAGGGAAGAAAUCUUCUGGGCUAAUACCCCGGGAGGAUGACGGUACCUGAAGAAUAAGCACCGGCUAACUACGUGCCAGCAGCCGCGGUAAUACGUAGGGUGCAAGCGUUAAUCGGAAUUACUGGGCGUAAAGCGUGCGCAGGCGGUUUUGUAAGACAGGCGUGAAAUCCCCGGGCUCAACCUGGGAAUUGCGCUUGUGACUGCAAGGCUGGAGGGCGGCAGAGGGGGAUGGAAUUCCGCGUGUAGCAGUGAAAUGCGUAGAUAUGCGGAGGAACACCGAUGGCGAAGGCAAUCCCCUGGGCCUGCACUGACGCUCAUGCACGAAAGCGUGGGGAGCAAACAGGAUUAGAAACCCGAGUAGUCC